AGUCGAACGGUGAACACGGAGCUUGCUCUGUGGGAUCAGUGGCGAACGGGUGAGUAACACGUGAGCAACCUGCCCCUGACUCUGGGAUAAGCGCUGGAAACGGCGUCUAAUACUGGAUAUGUGACGUGAUCGCAUGGUCUGCGUCUGGAAAGAAUUUCGGUUGGGGAUGGGCUCGCGGCCUAUCAGCUUGUUGGUGAGGUAAUGGCUCACCAAGGCGUCGACGGGUAGCCGGCCUGAGAGGGUGACCGGCCACACUGGGACUGAGACACGGCCCAGACUCCUACGGGAGGCAGCAGUGGGGAAUAUUGCACAAUGGGCGCAAGCCUGAUGCAGCAACGCCGCGUGAGGGAUGACGGCCUUCGGGUUGUAAACCUCUUUUAGCAGGGAAGAAGCGAAAGUGACGGUACCUGCAGAAAAAGCGCCGGCUAACUACGUGCCAGCAGCCGCGGUAAUACGUAGGGCGCAAGCGUUAUCCGGAAUUAUUGGGCGUAAAGAGCUCGUAGGCGGUUUGUCGCGUCUGCUGUGAAAUCCGGAGGCUCAACCUCCGGCCUGCAGUGGGUACGGGCAGACUAGAGUGCGGUAGGGGAGAUUGGAAUUCCUGGUGUAGCGGUGGAAUGCGCAGAUAUCAGGAGGAACACCGAUGGCGAAGGCAGAUCUCUGGGCCGUAACUGACGCUGAGGAGCGAAAGGGUGGGGAGCAAACAGGCUUACAUACCCUGGUAGUCCACCCCGUAA
rnacentral:rRNA from 1 species